rnacentral:lncRNA from 1 species
AAAAUGCUAUUAUAACUUCUUAUUUGGAAUUCGUAUGCUUUAUUCUCAAGUAAUUGUUAUUUUUAAAUUUUUUUUUCCUUGUGUUUCUAAAGGAAAAGAUAAUGGAGAAGGAUUUUGGCUAUUAUUUGCAUUGUCUUUGUAAAUAAUACAUCUUAGAUAUGGAUAGUCUAUUCCCAACAAAUGAACAGCCAAAUUGGCCAUGCUGUGUUUCCACCAUGUGUUUCACAAGACUGGAGACAAGGUAAUGCAGGAACUCUGUUGAGGGACACCUGAACAGCCGAAUGCUUUAUGAACACUAUUUAAUUAAGCCUUAUGACAAUCCCGUGAGGAGAACCUGGAAACUGAAAGAUUGGUUUAAUCUCUGCAUAGGCUGUCCUAUCAGAUCAUAGAGCCAUCAAGCAAAGCCUCACAUGCAUAGGCCCAGAUGGAAGGGCAUCCCAGACUGGAAGGCCUGAUAGGAAUUUGCUCUGGCCUAGCUGGAAGCUGUAGGUGUUCAUCACGUAGGCACACAUUGGAAUGGAGGAUACACUCUACAAAGGCUUCUAAUUGAAAGGACACUAAAAUGACAGCAGAAGAAGAGAAUACUUAAGACCUCACAUAAACAAAGAUAACAGAAAAGGAGAUGAUAAGAGAUGAAAAAUGUCAAGAAAAGGUUGAAAUGGAAACUAGAUGUAUGUGUGUAAUUGAAUUAGUAGAGCCAAGAAGCUAAAACCAAACUUCUGUGGGGAAGCCAGCUGACUUAAUACCAGCUUCAGAAACCUCAAAAGAUCCAGAAGUUGGAGGAGCCAAUAUCUCUGAAAGAUGAACAAUGGUAUGUAGUCAAAAAUAAGGAGAAUUGGUUGAUAGUGUGUAAGGGAAUAGUU